CCGACCUUAGCUCAGUUGGAAGAGCGCAAGACUGUAAAGGUUAAUUUCAAAAAUCAUCUUGAUGUCGCCUGUUCGAGCCAGGCAGGUCGGA
rnacentral:tRNA from 1 species